CCUACGGGAGGCAGCAGUGGGGAAUAUUGCACAAUGGGGGAAACCCUGAUGCAGCGACGCCGCGUGAGUGAAGAAGGCAUUCGGUAUGUAAAGCUCUAUCAGCAGGGAAGAAAAUGACGGUACCUGAGUAAGAAACCCCAGCUAACUCCGUGCCAGCAGCCGCGGUAAUACGUAGGGGGAAAGCGUUAUCCGGAUUUACUGGGUGUAAAGGGGGCGUAGACGGGAGGGCAAGUCUGGAGUGAAAGGCCGGGGCUCAACCCCCGGACUGCUCUGGAAACUGUACGGCUGGAGUGCAGGAGAGGUAAGUGGAAUUCCUAGUGUAGCGGUGAAAUGCGUAGAUAUUAGGAGGAACACCAGUGGCGAAGGCGGCUUACUGGACUGUAACUGACGUUGAGGCUCGAAAGCGUGGGGAGCAAACAGGAUUAGAUACCCCUGUAGUC
rnacentral:rRNA from 1 species